CUUGAGCGAGCCGAGCAGCAACGGCCGGUCCUCGGGCCUGUCCUGGCCGUACGUCGCCAGCAGUGCUUCCGCCUC
rnacentral:antisense_RNA from 1 species